UACGUAGGGUGCAAGCGUUAAUCGGAAUUACUGGGCGUAAAGCGUGCGCAGGCGGCUUUGCAAGACAGAUGUGAAAUCCCCGGGCUCAACCUGGGAACUGCAUUUGUGACUGCAUGGCUUGAGUGCGGCAGAGGGGGAUGGAAUUCCGCGUGUAGCAGUGAAAUGCGUAGAUAUGCGGAGGAACACCGAUGGCGAAGGCAAUCCCCUGGGCCUGCACUGACGCUCAUGCACGAAAGCGUGGGAGCAAACAGG
rnacentral:rRNA from 1 species